UGGACUUAGACUUAAUCCUAAUGCAUUAUGACAUCAUUCUUAACUUGAUUACAUCUGCAAAAACCCUAUUUCCAAAUAAGGUGACAUUCACAGGUGCCAGAAGACAGCCCUGCUACCCAAGCUCAAUGAUUGAAAGAUGAGUAAGAAAUCAUAAUUUGAAAACUGCCUCAUGAGGCAGGCCAUGAAUCAGAAGAGAAGAAAAGUAUGAUUUAAAUGUAAAUACUGCCAGGAGCUAUGGGGAGAAGUACAGCUGGACCUGGGGUCACUGGACAGAAAGCCAGUAAACCUUGCCCGUUCUGACAGAUGAAGGUCAUAGCCUUAGCCAAAAUCUAUCAGGCAGAUGGAUCGACCCGACUGAGAAGCAACUUCUUACAGUGGUGCAGCAAAGUGCAGACAG
rnacentral:lncRNA from 1 species